UCCAGCACUCCCUAAGCAGGCGUGACUAUCCCCAUUUUACAGAGAAGGGCCCUCAGGCGCACUCUGGCCCAGCCAAGAAGGACCUGAGCCGGCAUGGAACCAGCGCCAUCUGAUCUGAAACCUGUGUCAGGGCGACCACAAACUCAUCAUCCAUAAUAGCCCUUCCUAUGAGUGCUGGAAUCUGGAUUCCAGGGGACGCCAGGACAACAGGCAGAAACCAGGACUGCUCCAGGCACCCCAAGACAUAGGGUCACGGUAGAGAUCAGACAUAUCCACAAGGUGCAGCAAGGAACUGGGGUCAUUCUGGGUGGCCCUGUGGACUGGAAGAGUUGUGCCCCGUGGCUGCUUUAUCCUGGAGAAGGAAAGGACAGCUGUUUCCUCCGGAGCAGAUGGGGUUCAGCCACCAAUUCACCCAGCGAACUUUUCUCCACGGUGAGUCUCCCCAAGUCCUACCCCAAAGUGGCACCGUGUGGACUGACACUGGAUUGGGUAAACCUGGUCUACUGCACGCCGUCAGCAGAUAUUAGCUGUCACUGUUAUAUUCUUGAUGGAGUCUCCCUCGAGAGGGCUGAGUUCAAGGACUCUGAACAGGACAGAACCAUGGAAGGCAAUGGGGGCUGUCCAUGCCAUCCUGCCAGCUCUCCUCCUGCAGGAAGCCCUCCCUGACCACCCCUGUCCCCGGGGCUACUUUAAGACUCCAGAGGUUUCACCAUUUGGCUUUUGGUGGGCUGGCUUCGUGGUCUGGGGUUGCCAGGCUCAAAGUUUUUGUUCGGCUGCUGAACACCAAGGCCUACAAGCCCUCUCCUUUUCCAUCCCUCUCAGCUUCUGUACGGGGGCCUCCAGCCCCAUCCAGAAAUGCCCUGGCCUAAAAAAGCACCCUGCCUGUUCUUCCAUGAUGAAAUCAAAGGUCACAGACAUUCAGGCACACGCCCUAAGUCACCCAGCACGGAGGCUCCAUGAAGAAGACCGAGGCAGAAGGCGCCGGCAUUUGUAGAACAUACUUCAUCUCAUCUGAUCCUCCCAGGAGCCCACAAGAGUCCCCCCGCAGAGAGGCACAGGGCAGGCCAGAGCUGGAUGCGCGGCUGGAAGGUCAAAGGCAUCAUCCUCAGGUUGGAGACAGGAUGACCGAAGGUGUAAGAACUGGCCAGAGGAGUUGGACAACUCCCAGCUCAGGUCUCUCCUCGACUGCUUUGGCCGUGUGAGCUUUGCCUCUCUGGGUCUCUGUUGUCUCAUCCAUAAAAUGGGCCUGACCAUGCCCAAGUCAACGGAAG
rnacentral:lncRNA from 10 species